rnacentral:lncRNA from 1 species
UGGUGUAAACAAAGUCUCAACAAAUAGGGAAAAAUGAAAAGACAAAACGCAACAAUCCAACAGCCAAGCCAUAAAACCGCACAUAGAAAACAACAAAACCGAUAAAUGCAAAAGAUAAAACCAACCCAUGCCAAAACAAAACGACUCAAAAACAAAAAUAUCAUCCAACACCUAUCUUCUCUUCUUGUAAAAAACGUGACUGAGAUGAGCAAACUGAAGAAAAUUAAAAAGCUUUGAACCCAUCAAUGGAGAUUCUUUGAACCUUCUCCAUAUUCAAAGCGGUUUUAAAAAUAAGCUUGGCGAUUCUAGAUCCAAGCCAUCCAAUCCUUAUCCGCCAUCGUCCUCAUCGAUUCUAGAGCUCCAUAUACCUAGACGCAAAGGAUUUGUCGUCUCCUUCCUUCCAAAGCCAAGGUGUGAGCCGCUCUAUUAACUGUUCAAGAAACAAAUAGGUAAGAGACUUCUUCAAAGUUAUUUUCAAGGGUACGAAUAUGGUGCGUAAUCAAUCUGAGAAUUGAUUUAUCUUCCCCUUUUAUCUUGAGUUUUUUUAUUACCGAUAGAGAGUCCCCUUCCAAGAGAAGACACCAAAAACCCAUUUUAGACGCAAAAAUCAUAGCCCUUUCGCAUGCCCUUACUUUAGCCACAAAACCGUCGACAACAUCUUCAAAAAGAUAAGUACAUGCCCUUAUAAUUUCAUCUUCAGAAUUUCUAGCUAAUACUGUUGCAUUAGAGGUUCUAGAGUCACUUUGAAAGGACGUGUCAAAAUUUAGCUUAAUAAUACCGAUGUCUGGGGACUCCAUAGCUCAUUCAACAGCAAUCUAGAAAAAACCUAGAGUUUCUCAUGGCUUGAACUUAUCUCUUGACUGUAGCCUCGAAUGAAUUCUAACAGUUCCUGCAAAGAAAACUUAACACCUUCAUGAAUAAGUUUGUUUCUUUGAGACCAUAGGGCCCAUAAAGAAAUAGCAAUAAUAUGUCUGUUGUGUUCAUUUGCUGCAGAGAAAGUGUUAACAAAUCGAGUUUUGCAACUUGAGGUACACCCGACUGGAGCAAACGUGAUUUGAAGAGAAACCCAAACUUACUGUAAUUUUCCACAAGAUCACAUCAAAUGGUCAGAGUCCUCUGAAGCCUCCUUGCAAAGAGGAUAGACAACAUCCACACUUAAAGUCCUUUGAAUAAGAUUACAAAAAUGAGGCACAAGAUUAUCAAACAACCCCCAUAUGAUUUUUAUUUUUUUUUCUAAAAAAAGAAUAAAUUCUUAAUUUCUAAAAAGUACAAGAAUUAUAAGUACAUUAUAACCUAUACUUAAAUCCAUUCGAAUUUAUAUAUAUUUUUAAAUGUUUACC